UUUUGCCCCUGACAGCAGUGGUAGCCCUGAUUGAAAAAGCUCUAUUUUAUGGGAGAAGCAAAGCGACCGGAGGAAGCUCUUGCUUUGACCUAAUAAAAUAUAGCUUUUGAUUGAAGGCUAUAGCGUAUGGCGGGUUUGGGC
rnacentral:misc_RNA from 1 species